rnacentral:lncRNA from 1 species
AUGGCGACAGGGGACAGGGAAAAGGCAGAACUGCUCAAUGCCUUCUUUGCCUCGGUCUUCUCACAAAAAGAAAGCCAUCUUCAACCUCAGCAACAUGGAAUGGAUGAAGGAUUGGGGGAACUCCAACCCCAAAUAGGGAAACAAGUUGUCCAGGAACACCUGGCCUCUCUAAAUGAAUUCAAGUCCCCAGGGCCAGAUCAGCUACAUCCAAGAAUAUUGAAGGAAUUAGCGGAAGUUAUUUCAGAACCACUAGCAAUUAUCUUCGAGAGUUCUUGGAGAAUGGGAGAAGUCCCAGCAGAUUGGAGGAGGGCGAAUGUGGUCCCUAUCUUCAAGAAGGGAAAAAAGAACGACCCAAACAAUUACCGUCCGGUCAGCCUCACAUCGAUACCAGGCAAGAUUCUGGAAAAGAUCAUCAAGGAAGUGGUCUGCGAACACUUAGAAACAAAUGCGGUCAUUGCUAAUAGUCAACACGGAUUUACCAAAAACAAGUCAUGCCAGACUAAUCUGAUCUCUUUUUUCGAUAGAGUUACGAGUUGGGUCGAUACAGGGAAUGCUGUGGAUGUAGCCUACCUGGAUUUCAGUAAGGCCUUCGACAAAGUCCCCCACGACCUUCUGGCAAAUAAACUAGUAAAAUGUGGUCUGACCAAGGCAGAAUAGAGGGGGAGCAUGACUUGUUUUUGAUAAAUCCGUGUUGACUAUUAGCAAUGACCGCCUCUCCAGAAAGUAGGAGUUGUUCCUUUGGAUUAAAAUUACCCAGAGUCCAAUUAUAAUAUUAGUAAGAACUUCUUGGAGGAUAAAAGCCAUUUGACAGGUGAAACAGACUGCCUCCGACUGUCAUACUGGAUGCUUUUAAAGAGACAUCAGAUGUCCAUUAAUCUUUCUAAUGUGAUGAUAUAUGCAUGUGGACCUAAGUAGUAAAACAUGCAGUAACAGGGAGACAAAGUAUAUAUUUUAUUAUUAGG